AGGUUCAAUUAAAUAAAGAACCUAAAAGCAAUUGAAGUCAUAAAACCACGUCAGAAUCCAGUGAACGAACAGAGAAAAAAAUCAGUUGUCUACUGAUACAGGUGGCCUAAGACACAAUUUUAUAAUGGGAACAGAAAAGGUAAUGACAAAGUAAAGCAUUGUCAUUACAACAACCCCACAAAGCAACCAGGCAAAAAGGAAAAGAAAAGAAACAGAUAAUGGAAACUAUGGGCCUUUUUACUUGUGGAAAACAGUUUUCUAUUUCACAUUUUCUAUUUUCUAAGAAAACUCUACUUUUCUUCAUUACCCGUCAAUAAUAAAAAAAUAACUUUCUAAUUCAAAAAAUUAAAAGAUAUAUAUUCAUAUCUUUCAUAAUAAAAUAUAAUUAGAAACGCA
rnacentral:misc_RNA from 1 species